ACGGGUGAGUAACGCGUGGGAAUCUACCGUACCCUACGGAAUAGCUCCGGGAAACUGGAAGUAAUACCGUAUACGCCCGAAAGGGGAAAGAUUUAUCGGGGUAUGAUGAGCCCGCGUUGGAUUAGCUAGUUGGUGGGGUAAAGGCCUACCAAGGCGACGAUCCAUAGCUGGUCUGAGAGGAUGAUCAGCCACAUUGGGACUGAGACACGGCCCAAACUCCUACAGGAGGCAGCAGUGGGGAAUAUUGGACAAUGGGCGCAAGCCUGAUCCAGCCAUGCCGCGUGAGUGAUGAAGGUCUUAGGAUUGUAAAGCUCUUUCACCGAUGAAGAUAAUGACGGUAGUCGGAGAAGAAGCCCCGGCAAACUUCGUGCCAGCAGCCGCGGUAAUACGAAGGGGGCUAGCGUUGUUCGGAAUUACUGGGCGUAAAGCGCACGUAGGCGGAUAAUUAAGUCAGGGGUGAAAUCCCGCAGCUCAACUGCGGAACUGCCUUUGAUACUGGUUAUCUUGAGUAUGGAAGAGGUAAGUGGAAUUGCGAGUGUAGAGGUGAAAUUCGUAGA
rnacentral:rRNA from 1 species